UUCAAGUAUACAAAAUGUGGGGUUACCUUUGAGAAGUCCAUCACGGGAAGAGUGCAAAGAAAUAAUAGUAAAGCUGAUGUUCGAUUAGAUGCUCUCAAUAAAGAUGAUCAGAAGAAUAAUACAAAAGGAGGCCAAUCAGUUUUCUCCACAAAGGACAGGUUUACAUGGAAGACUACAGCUACGAGGUUUAUUAAUCAUUUCAUUUAGUGGUUCGGUGAAGUUUUAUUGAAUACUUGAAUGAAACCCAGUAUAUUCGUCUUUUCCAAGCACGCACGAAGAUCGUUUAACCAGUACCAAGGAGGGUAAUCAGAGAAGAUACGAGUAAAACAA